ACCAGGCAUGGUGGUGGCACCUAUAGUCCCAGCUCCCAGAGAGGCUGAGGCAGGAGGAUUGCUUGAGCCCAGGAGUUCUGGGCUAUAGGACACAAUGCUGAUCAGGUAUCCUCACUAAAUUUGACAUCAAUAUGGUGACGUUACAGUAGCAGGGGACAACCAGGUUGCCUAAGGAGGGUUGAACUUGCCCAGUUUGGAAACAGAGCACAUCAAACUCCUAUGCUGAUCAGUAGCGGAAAUGCACCUGCAAAUGGCCACUACACUCCAGCCUGGGCAACAUGGCAAGACCUCUUCU
rnacentral:SRP_RNA from 10 species